rnacentral:misc_RNA from 1 species
GCCCAACCUCUUCAUGUCUACUAUGUACAUCAUCUCUUUAUAUGAUAUGAACACCUUCUCCCUCAAAGAAAAGCUUUUAGACCCAAAACUCUAAUAAGAAAAAUCAUCUGAUUACUUACCUGUGAGUGAAUUUCUAUUCACCGGCUCUUAUUUACAUCCACACCCCCAAAAAACUCUAAUAACUUGGCCGUCAAAGUUUCAUCUUUGUAAAGCCUAGGGACCCUUUGACUGUGCUUUCCUCUGUGUGCAAGUCCCCCAAGCUUUCCUUCUCUUGAGCCCACCCAUAGAUCUAUGUUCUUUUCGUUGUUGGUUUCUAAUCUAACACAAUCUAUCUCCGUGGAUGAUAUAUGUGGGUCUCCUUGUCCGACUUCGGCCUUAUAUGACCUAGUUCUUCCCUUGGCGUUCAAGAUCCCCAGUGACGAUUUGCAAAGGGGAAGACAGGGCUCAAGCA